rnacentral:rRNA from 1 species
GACAGAGGGUGCAAACGUUGUUCGGAUUUACUGGGCGUAAAGCGCGUGUAGGCGGCUAUGCAAGUCGGAUGUGAAAGCCCAGGGCUCAACCCUGGAAGUGCACUCGAAACUGCGUAGCUCGAGUCCUGGAGAGGAAGGUGGAAUGCUUGGUGUAGAGGUGAAAUUCGUAGAUAUCAAGCAGAACACCGGUGGCGAAGGCGGCCUUCUGGACAGUGACUGACGCUGAGACGCGAAAGCGUGGGGAGCAAACAGG